GCCUAUAAAGGGAAAGGAUGUGAGUGAGGUGUACCUAUACAGGAAGAGGAUGUGAGUGAUGUAUACCUAUACAGGGAGAGGAUGUGAGUGAUGUAUACCUAUAAAGGGAGAGAAUGUGAGUGAGGUAUACCUAUAAAGGGAGAGAAUGUGAGUGAAGUAUACCUAUACAGGUAGAGAAUGUUAGUGAAGUAUACCAACACAGGGAGAGAAUGUGAGUGAGGUAUACCUACACAGGGAGAGGAUGUGAGUGAGGUAUACCUAUACAGGGAGAGGAUGUGAGUGAGGUAUACCUAUACAGGGAGAGGAUGUGAGUGAGGUAUACCUAUACAGGGAGAGGAUGUGAGUGAGGUAUAUCUUUAAAAGGAGAGGGUCUAUACAGUAGACUCUUUUUUUAUGAUGGUCUAUAGAAUCUAUGUUUCCAAACAUAAUUCCCAAUACAGUCAUUUUAAAUGGUACUUGCAUGCUAUUAUAAAGCUUUAUUCUAUCCUAAUCAAGGCUUUGUGGCUGAUUUGGGAGGGGGAGAAGGGUAGAGAAAACUAUACAUAAAAAUACUGUACGGACAACACAAGAAAAACGUUUUGCAACACAAAAAGUUCUUAACCUAAAAACAUCUGAAGACAAAAACAUCUUAGGCCUAGAAAAUCUAUUGGACACUGAACAGGCCUAAUCUGUAUAUGCCAAUGCUACAAAA